UACGUAGGGUGCGAGCGUUAAUCGGAAUUACUGGGCGUAAAGGGUGCGCAGGCGGUUAUAUAAGACAGAUGUGAAAUCCCCCGGGCUCAACCUGGGAACUGCGUUUGUGACUGUAUGACUAGAGUACGGUAGAGAGGGGUGGAAUUCCUGGUGUAGCAGUGAAAUGCGUAGAUAUCAGGAGGAACAUCGAUGGCGAAGGCGGCUCCACUGGACCACAACUGCGCUGAGGCGCGAAAGCUAGGGGAGCAAACAGG
rnacentral:rRNA from 1 species